rnacentral:tRNA from 2 species
GUGACUAUAGCUCAGUUGGUAGAGCCCUGGAUUGUGGUUCCGGAAGUCGUGGGUUCGAAUCCCACUAGUCACC